CCGGGUUUUCUAAUAUGAGACAGAGGAAGCAGUGAAUGCCACUAUUCUCCAGGAGAAUUUGGUUUGCCAACAGAAUCAGGUCAUUGGUGCCAGUGCCUGAAGAGUGUCUGACACCUCUACUGUAGGUAGAUGUAGACAGCUGAGACCCGAGCAGGAAGAAGGUACUAUAGCAGCCGUCAGAGCUAUACUGUAUCUUCAAGAACACUCAGGAAUGGAAAUCUAAAAGUGUCAGUUCGCUACAAAUUUCCAUGGUGUUAAUAUAAAAUUGGUGCCAAAACCUCCAAGACCAAAUCCCUGGCUCAACACUUGUGGCACACAGUUGACUGUGCUCAUCUGACUUUUGGAAGAUGUUUUUCUGGAAGAAAUCGAAGACAGGAAAGAAAUGGUGUAAGCAUCUCAGUUAUAGCCAUAGUCAACACAUACCGUGUGAAGAUGGAUCUAAAUAAGCCUUUGUCUAAAGGUGGACUAAAGCGGACCAGGUUUGAGUCCUGGAACAUGGUAAGAUAGAAUUUUCCAAAAUCUUUCCCAGAUAAGGAGAUUUAAGGUGGGGAACUUUUCCAGAUGCUGUGUCAGGGAUCUGUCAUUCUCAUGCAGACUGGCUUCAAAUAGAGACGGACCCACCAGGCGGAAAUGCUGAACUAUGUGAUCACCCAUCAAUCCCCAAGACCACAGAAGAGGAGAGCAGGGAAGAGUCCAUCCUGGCCUUUAUGAGGAUUGUAGGGACCAUCCUCAACUUAAUUGUCAUUAUUUUUAUCUACAUCUAUACUUCUAUCUGACACAAGACUGUUGAUAUCUGAAACUUAUAAUAUUAUGUGGAGGAAAUAUGAUAGACCUUAGUCUGGUUUGGUACCAUAUUUCAUUUUUAGACAGAAAUGAAAACAAGGCUGUGUGGGAUACAAAUACAGUGUAUUUAAUGGAUUGUGCUGUUGUUUAACCACAUACUGAUUGUUCAGUUGAUGAAAUGUCUUUCUGAAGAAGAAGAAGAAGAAAAAAAAUGAAACAUUUGGUGGACAAAAACUGAAAAAAAAAAAAAAGAAAUAUUGGGAGUUGGUGAAAUAGGACCUUAGUGUUAAAUUUAAUAUGA